rnacentral:rRNA from 1 species
GACGAACGCUGGCGGCGUGCUUAACACAUGCAAGUCGAACGGAAAGGCCCUGCUUGCAGGGUGCUCGAGUGGCGAACGGGUGAGUAACACGUGGGUGAUCUGCCCCUUAUUUUGGGAUAAGCCUGGGAAACUGGGUCUAAUACUGGAUAGGACCAUGCUGUAGGUGGUGUGGUGGAAAGAUUAGUUUCGGUAAGGGAUGAGCUCGCGGCCUAUCAGCUUGUUGGUGGGGUAAUGGCCUACCAAGGCGUCGACGGGUAGCCGGCCUGAGAGGGUGGACGGCAACAUUGGGACUGAGAUACGGCCCAGAGUCCUACGGGAGGCAGCAGUGGGGAAUAUUGCACAAUGGGCGCAAGCCUGAUGCAGCGACGCCGCGUGGGGGAUGACGGCCUUCGGGUUGUAAACUCCUUUCAGCCAUGACGAAGCCCUUGUGGUGACGGUAGUGGUAGAAGAAGCACCGGCUAACUACGUG